UUUUUGAAACGUGAACAUCUUUGACGAAUCUUUUCAUCGGAGGGACAUACAUCUCAGAUUUCAUUAAAAUAUCUCCGCUUUUCUUUCGAAGAUGAACGAAAGUCUUAGAUGGUUUGGAGCAUCUUAAGGCUUCUGCGAGCGUGUAUGGCGUCUGGCUGUUGGAACCUCACUGUGACUUCAGAUAAGAACAAAGAUUAAAUUGUAAGAAGGGUUGCUUAUAAGAGCAUACAGUACAUCUGAAACUGCUGAGGCUGGGAAGGUUUUUGACUAUAUUUCCAGCCAGAUCAGCUGCUAUAGAAGACAAACUGAAAUCUGAGUGCAGAGACAAGCAAAGGAAUACUGCAAGGCACUACUGACUAGGCUGUGCCCAGGUCUCCGGAACCUGCGACGACGCUCAGCUCCAUUGGCCCUUAGUCUGCGCCUUCGGGUCCACCAGCUCUGUCUCCAUCGGUCGGCCCCCAGAUGUCGGCAGCCACACCAUCUACAUCUUGGCUCCUCCCUCCCUCGACUCCGCCGUGUGUUGUCAGCACUGGGAUGCUCUGGGUCUGUGCCAUGUGCCAAACACCAUCUAAGCCGCCAGGGCAUCAUCGUCAUCCUCUCAUCACCAUUCCUACACCAUCUCCUCGUCCACCUCCAAAACCCCCUCCAUCCCUCCCUAUUCUGUUGCUUGAACUUUAUCAUCUUCAGUCUUUGCACACACAUCUAUUCACUUUACAUGUUUUUUUUCUUCAGAAAAUUGCAUUGUAAUUUUUAUUUAUACAUUGAUGUAAAAUUCUUUACUUUUCAGUAAUACAGGUAUAACUGAAAUGUUCUACAAAUGGA